UUAGGUUCAAUUUUGUGGUUUCUGUAGUUCAUUUUAAAAGGAAAAUAAAAGAAAUAGGCUUUAUUAAGAUUAAGGAUUAUAUGUGUUUAGAAGGUUUUGUGGUUUCUGUAGUUCAAUUUUGUGGUUCCUGUAGUUCAUUGCCAGAGUUUAUCACUGAUACAAGGUUUUAUUGCAGCUACUUUUAUUGUGCUUGUUUCAUCUCGUCACACAACAUUGAUAAUUAUGAUCAUGACCAGUUCUAUAUAUGCCUUACAAUAUAUUUUAGCUUUCAACUGUCGUGGCUGGCCAUUUUGUUGUAGGUUAAUGGGUACAGGUCAAAGCUGAGUUCGGUUAGAAACGCGCCAUUGGGUACAGACCCAUAAAACCAGUUAGCAACUGUCCAGAUUUUUUAACCUUUUCAUCAUCGUAUUCCACGAAAGCACUCCGUAAAACAAACACUCUGUAUGUUUGCAGAUGUUUUCCCAGAAGUGGAUUCGAAUGUAAACAAUGCGUUUGAUUCGACAAAAGCAACAGGUAAAUCUAAAGCCGUGGCUGGAAAAGGUUUUAUGGAUUAUGUUGAGGAAAUCAAACAGAAGACUACUGUUACAGUUGUUGAUAUGAUGAACACUUUAUCUGAUACUUUCCAGUCCUUUUUUGGCAGUUCACUGAAAGAUGGGGUUACUGUGAAUCCAAAUGGAACCGCUGGCAUAUCUAUGGAGCACACUGCUGUUGGAGCGACCCUUAUGGGACUCGCUAUCAUGGUUAUCAGUGUGGUUAUUCUUAAUCACUCAUAAUUUGUCGAUUACGCUAAUAAAGUUGUUUCGCUAUAAAUGCAUAUAUCCAGUUUGUUUGAAUCUUGUAAUGAAACUUGGAAAAUCUUGUUUUAUGUUCGAACGAUAAGCCCGUCUCAUCCUGCUUUAACCAUACAUUGCCUCCUUUAUUGUUCGCAUCCUCAGCAUCUUGUAUCUUGUUAUUCAGAUCCCUAGAAACAUCUGCAGAGGACGUUGUUUGGUUAACAACAGCAUCAGCCGAAUGCACCAGGUGAAUGACCCUAUUAACCUCAUCAGCAGAAGACAUAUCAACAUGAUGUAUAUUCUGAAUUCUGUUCUUGUUGUGUAAGGCCUGAAUAGGAGGAGACGUAGUCCGUUGCAAUAACUAGAUCUCACAAUUUAAAAAAAUGUGCUUACAUCCUGACAUUGAUUCAUUUCUGUGAUCUUACCCUUUGUGCUUUUAACAUGUUUUGUUUAUAGAGAUGUUGAAUUUUUAACAGUUGCAAUAUUGGCAUGCAUCUACUAGUUGCCUGCCUCUGUGUGCUGGUUUUCUUGUGCUGCAUGGUUUGUCUCAGAUUCGACCCGAUCAAAAAAUCUCAGGUGCAACGCCACUAGUUAUAUGUUUUACAUGAUCUCAACGUGAAUAUCGGGAGGACAUUAUGACCAUGGUUUAAUUGAUGGGGGCACAAGUUUCGAAACCGCUAAUUGUAACCAAGGUUACUCAUCUUAUAUGCUACAAAUUUGAAGGUGUGUUGUAUUAACUUUAAUUCACUUAUGCAUUUUCUCUAGGUGGCUUUUUUAUCGAACAAUAUAUUAAGAGCCUACCAUGUUUACAGGUAUGCGUGUGUUCUAUUACUCCAUCUAGAAGUGUAACUUCUAGUUAGCGGGUUUUAAUUGAUUAAAAAACUACAUCAGUACAAAAAUAGAGAUUGCAUGCUUCAAGAAUUUACUUUGGGCAUCUUUUGACCCUAUUGACCCAUUCAUCAUAUUUUUAGCAAUGUUUUAGUUCAUCAAUUGACCUGUCUAAGGCAGAUGAUAAUUCAAUUCGACUCAUUAUAAACCGAAGGGUAAACAUUCUCAUCACGAACUCUCUUGUUGUUAUGGUGAUGGCAAUUGCGACAACUUGGGGUAUUGAAAAAAGAACCCAAUCUUUUGGCUGACGAGCUUAAAGUGAUGUCAAAAGAAGUUGAGUAUAGUCAGUUGGUUGAUGUAGCGACAAUAAGUAGUAAGUGCUGGGAACUAUGAAGUGGAAGUAUGACUACUAAGAAAACGUUAACACGAUGAUUAUUUAACUCGCAUGAAGAUUGUGAAAGAGAUUCAUGAAAACAAUGAAGUUUUGAGUUUUUAUUCUUACACUUGUUAGUUUAUUUGGGUUAUAUGUUUGAUCAUUAGACUUAGAUUGACACUUAUUAGACAUUUGGAAUCUUUGGAAGAUUGAUUGAACUUUUAAU